GCCGGUGUAGCUCAACUGGUAGAGCAACUGACUUGUAAUCAGUAGGUUGGGGGUUCAAGUCCUCUUGCCGGCA
rfam:Domibacillus enclensis strain NIO-1016 genome assembly, contig: Ga0061089_108